CUCCGCGUAGCUCAGUUGGUUAGAGCGUCGCACACUCGCACUAGAGAAGCGAACGUCACGGGUUCAAAUCCCGUCGUGGAGC